CUUAGAGGAAGCUGAGUGAAGGGUACACAGGAACUCUCUGAACUAUUUUUGCAACCUCUGUGUGAGUCUAAAUGUAUUUGAAAGUAGACAUUUAAAAAAAUGGUUCAAGGCAGUUUCCAGAAGAGUGGCAAGCAAAUGCCGUUGAGAAGUCAGUGAAAGAGAGGACUUGGAAUUGAGUGUUCCGUCUGGACAUCGUUGGCUUUACUAAGAGCGAUGGCAUGGAGUGGUGAGGACAAAAGCUUGAUGUCUCUAUGGAAAAUUAAAGGAUCAGAAGAGUUCUUCUCACUCCACGCAUCAAAUGCUAUAGAAAUAAGAGAUCCAAAAGAUUUAUAGCAUUAGGCAAGGGAAAAAGAUCAAUGGGUUAAAGUGACAUAAUUGAAGUUUUCAUUGUUAGAAACCUCUUUUAUAAGCUGGUACACCUAAAGGCUUGGCAAAUAUCCAUACUUGUUAGCCAUCUGCAUCACCACUGACUGUGUGCAUAUCUUGAAGGAUUUAGUGAAUCAUAGACAUAUGAUCACUGCAUGGAAAAAAAUGUGUUGUGCCCAGCACACUCUUUUCCAUAAAGAAAGCAUCACUGGGAAAUACAACAUGUGGAAACAGGCCACAAAAAUGCAGCAAAUUAGUCUUUAUUAUCCACUCAUCCAUGCAGGAAAAAUUUAAAAGGUAAUAAAAUCCUUGGUUCUUAAAACUGGCACUUUAGCCUUACUGUUUUUAGAGUAAAAUACAUAGUGCUGGAUAACCACUGUGCAUCUAAGUAUUUAGUCUAGUUUUUAAUUACCUUUCAAUUUAAGAGGCAUUUCGAAUCAUGCCGUCACCUGUUCCUCAGUUUUCCACUGCAGGUUACCAUCCCAAACUACCUCAUUAAAAUAAAUGAAAACAAAUAGGAUUAUCCAAGUAAAUUGUCACUAAUGCUAUUAUAAAGUAAGAAUGGUUUGGCACCAUUCAAUAAAGCUACAAUUCUGAGCUGUAAAUGUAACACAUGGAAAUUCGGAUGACAUCUCAACUCAUUAGUUAGUCUGUUCCAUAUUUGUGCUUGCACUUGGAAUAAAUGAUAAUGUCAUUCUGUACCUGCACAGUAUCAUAAGGGUCAUUGUUUUCCCUAAUGAACAAUGAUGCAAUUCUGUGAUUCCAUGAUCCUUGUCAAGUAUCCUGUUUAUUGUAAUUUCUGAGCACAGUGGAUAAUCCUGUAACUUAAAUAUAUGUAUGCCCACACCAAAAAAUCAAACCUAUAUACCUUUCAAAAUAGUUUUCACAAGCUUCUUUCUAAAUUUUCCAGUGUUUACUGCAAGGGAGUAGAGUUGUGUUUUAAAAAAAAAGUCUAGUGCAAUAUGUGCAAACUUUUCUAGAAUUUUUAACCAUAGGCAUUUGUUUUAGGUUCAGUGUAUCUCAUAGAUAUAAUCUAAUUGAAAGAGAUUGAAAGAGAGAGAGAUGUGGACCAAAAGUGGAGAUGAACUAUCAGAAACAGAGAUGAUGAACCACCAGGAGCAAAACACAGGAAGUUCUCAGCCUGACUCAGGGGCACUCCAGAUUCAACACCCGUGAGGUGAUACUGCGUGAAGUCAUCUUUAGAAUACAGUUUAAAAAUCUGGUAUAUAAUCCAGCAUGCUGCAGCCACUGCGAACUAUGGCCUGGUGAACAACUGCAUCUCCCCCACCCCAAGUUUCCAUCCGGCCAUUCUUCAGCCAGAUGUACAGGAAACUGAGAAUCAAAGCAACGAAUGUGGUCAUAUGUAAAUAGCACAUCUGACACUAAGGGAGCAUAGGCUUUUUAAGCACAGGACUCACCACCAGGGUGACAGAGACUCUCAGGAGUGAGCAGAAACAUGAUGAUUUCUGAGAACUCGGAACAUAUGCUGAAGCCACAGUACUGAAAAGUUUGUUGUCAGUGUAGAAAACUACAGGGUCUACAUUUUGUAAGUUUUUCCUUAAGCAGUUUCUUUCCUUUAAAUGAUCAAGAUGGUGUUUCUGCCUUUCUAGCCCUGGGAGAUUUCGCAUUUUCCUCUCCACUGAUUGUGCCUCCAAUAGCUGUGUCUUAAAGGAGAAUUCCAUUAUUAUCACUUGGAACAUUAAGUAGAAUGAAGCCAAUAACAAAAUGAAGAAACUCAGGAUAGCACAGGGUAAUAAAUAUUCUUUUAGCUGCCUCUUUAGGGCUGUGUGAUAUUAGGCAAAUUACCAACUUCGAGGCUUAAUGUUUCCAUCUUAAAAAUGAGUAUAGGACACCUAUCACAGAGUUCCUGGGAUGAUUGACAUGAGAUAAUCUUUAGAAUGCAUGAAACCCAGUGUAGGCAUAUUCUGGGUGCUCAGGAAAUGUUAAUUCCCCGUUCCCUUCUUCAUUGUGUGUCCAGGCAUCUUACCAGCUUUGAAAUGACUUGGUCUAAAGAUGAUAGAAUCACAUGACACAUUUAGAAAAUUUAGUGUGUUACUAAUUUUUGGCCAGGUCAACUCAAGUCAUGAUGAAAUGGUUUGGUUCUGGAAAAUGCUAGCUUUCUAGUCUUUGGGGAAGGCUACAAAGAUAUCAGCAAUACGUGAACCGUGAACUUCCAGAUGUCCAAGCUGGUUUUAGAAAAGGCAGAGGAACCAGAGAUCAAAUUGCCAACAUCUGCUGGAUCAUCAAAAAAGCAAGAGAGUUCCAGAAAAACAUCUAUUUCUGCUUUAUUGACUAUGCCAAAGCCUUUGACUGUGUGGAUCACAAUAAACUGUGGAACACUCUGAAAGAGAUGGGAAUACAGACCACCUGACCUGCCUCUUGAGAAACCUAUAUGCAGGUCAGGAAGCAACAGUUAGAAGUGGACAUGGAACAACAGACUGGUUCCAAAUAGGAAAAGGAGUACGUCAAGGCUGUAUAUUGUCACCCUGCUUAUUUAACUUAUAUGCAGAGUACAUUAUGAGAAACGCUGGACUGGAAGAAGCACAAGCUGAAAUCAAGAUUGCUGAGAGAAAUAUCAAUAACCUCAGAUAUGCAGAUGACAUCACUCAAGUGAAGAGGAACUAAAAAGCCUCUUGAUGAAAGUGAAAGAGGAGAGUGAAGAGGUUGGCUUAAAACUCAACAUUCAGAAAACAAAGAUCAUGGCCUCUGGCCCCAUCACUUCAUGGCAAAUAGAUUGGGAAUCAGUGGAAGUGGUGGCUGCACUUUAUUUUUCUGGGCUCCAAAAUCACUGCAGAUGGUGAUUGUAGCCAUGAAAUUAAAAGACAUUUACUCCUUGGAAGGAACGUUAUGACCAACCUAGAUAGCAUAUUAGAAAGCAAAGACAUUACUUUGCCAACAAAGUCCGUCUAGUCAAGGCUAUGGUUUUCCAGUGGUCAUGUAUGGAUUUGAGAGUUGGACUAUAAAGAAAGCUGAGCACUGAAGAAUUGAUGCUUUUGAACUGUGGUGUUGGAGAAGACUCUUGAGAGUCCCUUGGACUGCAAGGAGAUCCAACCAGUCCAUUCUAAAGGAGAUCAAUCCUGGGUGUUCAUUGGAAGGACUGAUGUUGAAGUUGAAACUCCAGUAAUUUGGCCACCUGAUGCGAAGAGCUGACUCAUUUGAGAAGACCCUGAUUCUGGGAAAGAUUGAGGGCAGGAGAAGGGGACAACAGAGGAUAAGUUGGUUGGAUGACAUCACCGAGUUGAUGGACAUGGGUUUGGGUGGACUCAGGGAGUUAGUGAUGGACAGGGAGGCCUGGCGUGCUGUGAUUCAUGGGGUCACAAAGAGUCAGACACGACUGAGUGAUUGAACUGAACAGAACUAAGAUAUCAAGAGUUCAUCUUCCUACCUAGGAAAUGCACUCCAGUUGCUGCUACCUGUGUAUCAGAACCCAAAACUGAAAGAACUUAAAAGAUAGUGGCGUAAGGAGGGAAAGAAAAGAAUGAUGUGAUUCUGGAACAAAUACUUCCACAUUCUUGGGCCAAAACAGAAAGUACAGACUCAUCCAAUUAGGUCUAGACCCCCAGGGGCAACUUUGGAAAUUAUAAGUGCUCCCAAGGACAUUAGAGUUAAUAUGAAGUCCUUGGAAUAUAUAUGAGCAUGAAUUUGAUGACUGUAUAUCCUGCAUUUCCCAGGAAGGUCCAGAAUUAUAUGUUCUCUCAUGAUAAUUAGUAAUAAGGCCUCUUUUGUUUUCCAGGGUGUCACAGUUUGAAUGAUAUAUUAUAUGCUUUUUAUUGUCAUAGGAUACUCAGAAGGCUCUCAGCCUCCAAAUGUAGGUCAUGAAUCAAAAGAAUCUAUAUUGGUCCCAUUUUUCUGCCAUUGUUUUUGGUGCUCCUGAUAUCACUUCUAUUGAACACAUUUUUAUUAUCUUUGAAUAUCACCUGAGUGUACAGUAAAGAAUUAUUGGGGGUAGUUAUAUCUGUGUAUGGUUUUAAUUUUCUGAUUAUCCACUUCUUUUGGAAAUAUUAUUUACAUAACAUUCAUUUUCUCAAACUGUAAUUUUUUUCAUUUACUUCUGAGUUCUCCACUUAACUGGUUUAUCUUUUUGUUCCUGAGCACUUACACACAUUUAAUUACCAUAGCCUUAUAUUAUGUCUCGAUAUCUGAUGGGACUUGUUUCCCUCUCAUCCAAAUUGAUUCUUGUUUGUUAAAAAUGGCUUAACCAUACUUGCAAAAUUAUGUCAAAUGGCGGCCUUUUAUUUACACUUUACAAAGUAGGAAUAUCAAAAGCCUAUAAAACUUCCUUCUACCAGGCUAACCUGUUCCAUCUGAGGAUCUCAGGUUUAACAGUACACCUGGAUUUGAUUUUUCAUAUGUUUAUACAUGUUAUGGAUGGAUGGUGAGAUGUGCUUGUCUUUGGUGACAAGUGUUAUGAAAUAAAAUUUCCUCCUAAUUCAGAGCAGACUAUUAACAUGAUGGUACAAUCAAGACAUUCAUGGAAACUUAAUGACAAAAACAUUCCAAGAACUGCAGAAGGGCACUUCCCUCAUCAUUUCGUGUCACACCCAUUAAAAUGAAAAUUCCUUUUGGCACAGCUUGGGAGAAUCAAGGUAGAAGGAUUAGUUGGGUUGUGCCAGCCUAUAAAGAGCCUUUACUCCUUUAAAUUAGUACAAACUGAGCUAUUAAAUACAUAUGAAAAUUAAUGGCAUUUACAGCCAUUGUUAUGGCCAUGAUGUUAAUACCAAAACUGUUACAUCAAUAGGGAAGAGUGUUUAUGUUUAACAAGUUCACAUUGGUUGCUUUCCAAAUCUUUGAAAUGUUUUGAAAAUUGGGAGAACCUUAAAAUUGCUAAAAUAUCAAGGAUAAGCUGAAAAUGAGACUGUUGGGACACUGAGCUGUACCCAGAAUCAGACCUUCUCCUAAGCCCAUAGGAGUUUUCAUGUCAAACUUCCCAAGUCGAAUUUAUUGGGUAUGAUGGUGCUCUUUAAGAAGAGAUCUACAUGUCUGUGGAUUUCCCUAUGAAAUCUGCAGAUCUCAAUAUAAAUAAAUGGGCUUGGAUGGACUACAGAUGUACGCUAAGAGUCUGCAGAUGCAGGUUGAAUGUGCAUAUGAUAUUAAUCAAAACACAUGUGUAACUAAGGCCUUCUUCUGUCACCCUGGGUAUAAUACUGGCUAGGACAUAGAUUUUUGUAGGAAGGAGAUAGGUGUUUCCAUUUGGGUUAUCCACCCAACUUAUAACACACUCAUUAUUUAAACUGGUUGCUCCAGAUCUCCAUGUUUCCAGCAAAGCAGGAAUCUUACCACUCUACUCAUUGAUUGUGAACCUCUAUCUCCUGAAAAGGAAUCUUGAAAGUGGAGUAAGUUAAGAAAUUUCUCCUGUACUCCUUGACCUCAUCUCCAGAAGGAAGAAUAAGAUACUGUAUGGCAGCCUAGAUUGUCUAUUCAGCAAGUCAAUUAAUACACAAAGCCUUCAUUUUUAUAUCUUUUCUUCCCACCAUGUGCCCAUAUGUCUUAUCCUAAGGGCUUUCCAGGAUAGGCCUGUGCACAAAAGCACAGAACUCUCAGUGGUGUCUCCUCCAGUAUCUCCUUUGCUAAGUGAGGGCUGGAAGCCCCAGGCUAGCUUUCAUGGUCUUUCUUUUAAUAUGUGCACAUUUAAAAAUUCAAUGGUGCACAUUAACGGGGCACCAUUGGUGCACAUUCAAUGGUAAACAUUUGAAUGCACAUUUGCAUUCAAUGGUGCAAAUUUAAAAAUUUAUGGUGCACAUUUAAAAAUUCAACCCCAAAAUACAGAGCACUGACCAUGUGCUGAUCUCGACUCUAUAUUCUUGGGACACAUCAUUGAACAACACAAAAAGCUUUGCCACUGUGGGCCUGACCUUCUAACUGCUUCCCCAGGAUCGCUGCCUAUCCAUGGCAAAUAGGUUGAGGAAGUUGAAGUCUGAGUUAGCAUUCUGUCAAAGGCAGGUUUGUAUCCCUUAGUGCAAAAAUUUGAUUGAGGAAAAAAAUGGAAUUCAGGCAUAUUGAUAUAUUAACUAAAAUUAUAUUCAUUUUGAGGAAGAUGACAUGAGUCUGUUUCAGCUUUUAUUUAUC
ensembl:lncRNA